rnacentral:lncRNA from 1 species
CCCAGACCCAGAGUCCUUUACCCAGACACCCAGACCCAGAGCCCUAGCCCUCUACUCAGAGCCCUGUACCCAGACAAUCAGACCCAGAGCCCUCUACCCAGACACCCAGACCCAGAGCCCUGUACCCAAACCCAGAGCCCUCUGCCCAGACACCCAAACCCAGAGCCCUCUACCCAGACACCCAGACCCAGAGUCCUCUACCCAGACAUCCAAACCCAGAGCCCUCUGCCCAGACACCCAGACCCAGAGCCCUCUACCCAGACACCUCUACCCAGAUACCCAGACCCAGGUUCCCAGACCCAGAGCCCUCUACCCAGACACCCAGACCCAGAGUCCUUUACCCAGACCCAGAGCCCUGUACCCAGACCCAGAGUCCUGUACCCAGACAAUCAGACCCAGAGCCCUGUACCCAGACACCCAGAGCC